rnacentral:rRNA from 1 species
UACGUAGGGGGCAAGCGUUGUCCGGAAUCAUUGGCGUAAGCGCGUGUAGGCGGCUCGAUAAGUCUGCUGUGAAAGUUCAGGCUCAACCCUGAAAUGCCGGUGGAAACUGUCGGGCUAGAGUCCGGAAGAGGCGAGUGGAAUUCCUGGUGUAGCGGUGAAAUGCGCAGAUAUCAGGAGGAACACCAAUGGCGAAGGCAGCUCGCUGGGACGGUACUGACGCUGAGACGCGAAAGCGUGGGGAGCAAACAGG